UACGUAGGGACCAAGCGUUGUUCGGAUUUACUGGGCGUAAAGGGCGCGUAGGCGGCGUGUUAAGUCAGCUGUGAAAUCUCCAAGCUUAACUUGGAACGGUCAGCUGAUACUGAUGUGCUAGAGUGCAGUAGGGGUAGAGGGAAUUCCCGGUGUAGCGGUGAAAUGCGUAGAGAUCGGGAAGAACAUCGGUGGCGAAAGCGCUCUGCUGGACUGCAACUGACACUCAGGGACGAAAGCUAGGGGAGCGAAUGGG
rnacentral:rRNA from 1 species